rnacentral:snRNA from 1 species
UUCUGGAAUGAUACAGAGGAGAUUAGCAUGGCCCCUGUACAAGGAUGAUACACAAAUUCAUGAAACGGUCCAUAUUUUA